rnacentral:rRNA from 1 species
UACGGAGGGUGCGAGCGUUGUCCGGAAUCAUUGGGCGUAAAGGGCGCGUAGGUGGCGGGACAAGCGUGCGGUGAAAGCUCGGGGACUCAACCCCGGAGUCGGCCCGUGCGAACUGUCUUGCUUGAGCACUGUAGAGGCAGGCGGAAUUCCGGGGUGUAGCGGUGGAAUGGCGUAGAGAUCCGGAAGAACACCGGGUGGCGAAAG